rnacentral:lncRNA from 1 species
UGCUAAUUCAAGUCAGGGAUCGAGAGGUGCCAAGGGAGAAAGGAGAUAGAAGACCAAAGACAGAUCUCCCCUCUAGGGAACACCUCCAUUGAAAGGAUAGGAGAAUGUGAGAGACGUAGUUGAAGGAGGGCCCAGAAAGAGCGAGAUGCCAGAGAGUGGAGGCCACUACAUCUCACAAGCCAUGAGCUCCGCCCGGUCCAGCAGAUUCUUUCAAACCCUGAGGCGAUUGUGUUUGGGCUGUUGUGGGCUGGGAAGCAAGAUGAGAGCCCCAGGAGACUGAGGAUACGAUGCAUCAGCUGGGUUCCUGCCAUCACUUAGCAAACCCUCACAGCGAAAGGACUCCCAGUGAGGAAUCGCAAUCCCACACUCCCUGUACUGCAAUGUGUUCAAGCACCUAUUUCUUGAUCUUGUCCACUUGUCUAAUUGUUGGUGGCAGAAGGGUGAGCCCAGUGACCACAACUCCAACGCAAAGGAAGUGGAAGGUAUUUAUAAGCUUUUAACACACAAUCUAACUUCAUCUUUACCCCCCACCCCCCACCCCCACCUCCUUUUAUUCGGUCUCCCUUACCAGAAUGGAAGUUCUAUCAGGUUGGGGACUUUGGUCUGUUUCCUUCCUGCUAUAUCUCCAUUACCUAAAGUAUACCAUAAAUGUUUGUUAAAUUAUUAAAGCAAUUAUUUAUUUUAUCUGUAAUCUUGUAAUUCUUUAGCCAAGAAAGAGUGAGAGCAUAUUUGUUUCAGUAAAUUCAAAUUUCAACACGGCACAGUCAACUUUUAUAAUCAUAAGUCCAUAUUUAAGGGUGUUUAGCCAGCACAUGAAGAAUUAUCAAUUAGCAUAAUGUGUGUGAAAAAUGUGCUCUCGGGGCGCCUGGGUGGUUCAGUCAGUUGAGCAUCUGACUCUUGAUUUCAGCUCAGUUCAUGAUUUCACAGUCAUGAAGUUGAGCCCUGCGUCAGGCUCUGUGCUGACACCACAGAGCCUGCUUGGGAUUCUCUCUCUCUCUCUCUCUCUCUCUCUCUCUCUCUCUCCCUCUGCCCCUCCCCAGCUCACGCACACAUGCACAC